rnacentral:lncRNA from 1 species
UUGCUCAUUCAACAAAUAUUUAUUGAAUGUGUGCUUGAGCCAAGCUUUCUUCUAGGUGCUGGGAAUGCACCAACAAAGGACAUGAUUGCAUUCAAGCAGGAGAGAUGGGCAACAUGCAGGUUGAUAUCUAAUAUUUUGUUGAAGAGAAACAGCCCAGUAGGGAGACUGGACACAGACGGGCAGGUGGCAAGGGGUCCAUUGGUGUAAGAUGCACAGAAGCUACAGUUACAGUGGCAUUUGCAAGAAGGAAGAAGGUAAGUAAGGAAACUCUGUGAGAAGAAAGUGUCUCAAGACAGGAAGCAGCAAAGGCAGAGCUCCUGAAGAGUCACACUGGGAGAGCAGCAAGUAGCCGGCAUGGCAAGCACAGACUUAGAAGGGAGAGCAGAGAAAUAGUAGAGGGAGGCCAGGCGUGGAGUCUGAUGGGUUUUACUCUGAAGAAUGUCACAGUCACUAAAUGUUGGCCCAGGGGAGGUGUCCUAACUCUGUAAGGCUCCUAAGAGGAGGCAGCUCCAAAUGUGGGGACCUGGGUUAGAUAUUAGUCAACAACAGAGAGCCCCAUGAGGUGGAGAAAAGAAAGGGGGAAGACGUGGGUCUUUCUAUAUAGUAAUUUAGCACCCACCAUUCCUGAGCUGCAAUAUACCCAGAGAAGCCUAUGACUAAAAUUUCUGCCUCUCUUGUCUUGUCUCGUCCUUAGAGGAGGGAUUGGAUUUAACCCCAAUGUGAAAUAGCUGAGGAUGGAGAAAGGAUAAUGAGGAAGAAUGUCACCAAGAACUAGCUCUACAAGUUGAUGUUUGUGUUAUUUUUGGUUUUUCUUGGUUGGUUGGUUGGGUGAGUGGGUGGGUGGGUUUUGGUUGCUUUUUAAGACAGUCUCACUUUGUAGUCCAGGCUAGCCCAAAACUCACAGUGAUCCCCCUGACUCUACAUCUUACCAUCUUUCUAUCCCUCCAGCAACAUUUUACAGCUUUUGUCAACACUAUUGUCCCUCAUCCACUACUGAUUCCAUCCAAUGGAGAGAAGAGAGACCCUAUCCUGCUAGCCAGAGACCCCUAAGCAACAAUCAGGAGGUGAUACCUUCCUCCCUGAAGAAGUUACUUGGGGAUCUAUGUUUAGUAAACAGAGACAAGUAGCUAAUCAUAAAAGGCUCUGCCUCUCCCCAAUGUAUCCUCUAAAGCCAAGAAUGGUGGCAGCAAGAACCCCAUGUCCUCUAAGAGCCAAGUCAGACUUCCAUUCAGAGAGCUCAGUCCUAAAGCAAAUUGAAAGCCCUCAGCAAGAAAUUGUUCCUGAGCUGGAAGCUAGAGAGGCACACUGUGUUCUCUUACCCCCUCAGAAGUGACAUGCCCCUUCCUUUUCCAAUGUCCCCUUUCUGCCUGGAACAUGAGGAGGACCACAGUUGGCCCUCCCCCCAGCUAGAGCUGGUGACUCAGAGGCCACCUGCAUCCAUUUUCCAGCUCUGCCUGUGGCACAUCCUCUGCCCUUGCCUCCAAGCCACCAGCGAGCGGUGCCCUCUGCCUGGGCUACAUCUGAACACUGAAGCAUUCUUCUGGGAUUCGUCACUUUCUGAGAGGGAUUACAUAAAGAGGAGCUGUUUCCAGGACAGAGCAAGGACUAGCCAGUGGAAUUUAGAACAAUCCUCGGAAAAGCCAGUCCCCUAGAGAAGGGAAAAUUCCCCUGCUCUAGCAGACUCAUCGUUUGCGAGCAACCCUGAGGUUGGAGGGACCCUCAGAUGAGAAGGGUAGCAGAGAAUCCCAACCCCUGAGCCAUGUGCUCUGAAGUUUGCAGGGCCUGGACACUAGAGCCAGCUUGUGGGAAUGGGAUGAGAAGGCUCUCACUGUCCUGCCUCUUCUCAGUGAGCAUACCUUCCAGCCUGCAGCUCUUUGGUACCAACCUCAUGUUCCCCCAUUGUCCCAUCUGCAGAGAUGCUCAGAUGCUUCCUGAGUAUCUACAAGAGCAGCCAAAGCUGAGCUCUGAACGCUUGGUCCCACCCUUCAAAGCUUCCCUGCUUGCUACCUCCAUCAAAUGGCUCCUGGUUAGAGCAGUCUGGGAGUCAGGCAUGAAGUCCCCUGACCAUUAAACUGGACUUCCUGCACUUCACUCAGCAGCAUCUCCAGUGACAUGAGCCCAAGCCAUCAUCCACUUCCCCUUAAGCCCCUUUUGUUGAAACUUCCUGACCCUGUUCACCUUCACCUCACUUCAUCUUACUCUUCCACCAGCUGUUCUUCAGCUGGUCUUUCUGUAACAUAUUUUCUUUGCUCCCCUGGGAGAUUUUUCUUUUUUAAAGAUGGUGUUUCACUAUGUAGCUCAGGUUAACCACAAAUUCAAUGUAGCCAAGGAUGACUUUGAACUCCUGAUUCUCUUGCCUCCACCACCUAAGCCCUGGGAUUUUCGGUGUGUAUCACCUGGCCUUAACAUUUCCUUUUUUUCCCCUGUGUGUCUGUGUGUAUGUUGUUGCUCCUCUAGCUCAUCCCUCAGAUCUCAACCUCAGAAAGCUGGUGCUGACACCCUCCCUAACUUCUUGCUCUCUUUUGCUAUCCUGUUUAUUUACUAUAUAGCAUUUGGCCAGCUUGUGUUGAGCACACUUUAAUAAUAAUUAUAAGCUUGUGUGUUUCUUGUCAAUCUCCCUACUAUUGCUUCUUAUGGGUAUAGAUUGGAGGUAGGCACAUCAGAGAGCUCUGGGAGACAGAAAUGGAGCUCAGUGGAGACAAGACUCAAUGAGAGAAGAAACCAUUUCUCACACCAUGUUUCUAUGGUCCAUCUCAAAUCAUGACCUAGGACCUCCUAGAUGGAUGGAGGAUGGAUGAAUGGGUGAUAUAUAUGUAAUACAUGAAUGGUCGGUGGAUAGAGGGAUGAUGGCCUGAUAGGAGAAUUCUAGAUUUUAGCAUAAAGUAACAGAAAUCCUGUUUAAGACAUUGGGAGUAGUUAAGAAAGACUCUGUAGCUACAGAAAGACCCAUUCCUGGGUUGGAGACCCAUUUCAUAAAUUCGGACAAUGUCAUUCCAAAUCCUGGACGAGAAAACUCAUCCAUGAGUACACUCAGGAAAUACCUUCCUGAAGAAUGAGAUGGAAAAUGAAAACCAAAUGGCUGAGGAAUGCUGCCUGCUUUUCUCAUUCUUCGCUGGGGGCAGAGCUGCUUGGACUCAACUGAAUCACGGGUUGAUGAGCUGAAGCAGGAUGACCGACAAUACUCUGGGACAUGUUUACAUGACAGAACUUGGUUUUGCAAUAUCAGCAUCAUUCCUUGGAACAUCAGGGACAAAUUCCAGAGGAGAAGGCUUUCUAUCUAUGGACUCCCAGUGACUCAUGCAACCAACACAAGGGACACAAAUGGCUAUUGGUCACAGCUCAAUGGAUCAGGCAACUCAGACUAUGCCAAAUGUUAUCAGAAUGAGCUCACAUAGAAACUUCAAGAAUACUCAGUGAGAGGCAGAAGAUAGUGGCUGCCUCAUCUGCACACUACCACAUUCCUUUAUCCUGCCUAACCUAUGUGGUGAGAGAAAUGACUUACUAUGAUGUUUGGGAAAUCAAACCCAACCCCAACACUACCAAAGAAGAACUAAAAAAGACUACAAGCCAAAUGUUGUCUCUGAUACCAAGAGAAUUGUGUAACAAAGGAGGCAAACAGGUAAUUUAGGAGGAGAGAAGGUGAUACUGGGGUUCUCUUGUAGACAUCUUUGAUGUUUUCUGGAGGAGACAGAGGGAGGAUGCAGAGACAAAAGAGAAGUAAACAUGUUGCGUGUGAACUACAAUAACCUUGGACUUACACAAGGAUGCAACAAGACUGGCUUUGCAAAAGAAUGUGCUUUGUGACAAAUGUGAAAACCGUCAUGGUAAAAAAGGAGCUAUGGCAUACUGGCCCAACUGCAGAGAUAGUGGGAUCCAAAUUUGGAUUCUCAGAAAGGAUGGGGAAUGGUUCCAGAAAUUCAGUCUGUGUGCAUGGAGUACCAGAGCUAUGGAGACUUUCCACCCCACUUAAAGACAGAUGUAAAGGCUGCAAUAGAAAGGAGACUGGGAGAAGAUUCUAGAAGACUGUGUUGACUGGGAAUUUUUGUCAACUUAAUACAAGCUAGACUCAUCUGAGAAGAGAUAAUCUCAAUUGAGAAAAUGCCACCAUCAGACUGGCCUGCAUAUAGGCCUGAAGGGAAUUUUCUUGGUUGAUGACUGAUAUGGAAGGGCCCAGCACACUAUGAGCAGUGCCAUCCCUGGGCACUGGGGUGUAUAAGAAACCAACUAAGCAAGCCUGAAGGAGCAAGCCAGCAUGUUGUCACAGUGAUGAGAAAAUAACUAAUGCAGAGUCCCACCCUCAGUGACCCACAUCUGCCAGGCUCGUGUGUUUGAACACUCGGUCCCCAGCCGGUAGUGCUGUUUGGGGAGGUGAUAAGAUCUUUGAUACACGGGGCUCAGCUGCUGAAUAUAAGCCUCUUGGGCCCUGCAUCGUACCUAAGAUCUCUAUUUCCUGAUGUACUGAGAUGUGAACAAGCUGUGCUGCAAGCUUCUACCUCCAUGACCAAGCUGCUUCAGCCCCCAUACUUUGCCUGCCAUGAUGGACUGUAUUUGCCUGAGCCAAGAGCCGAUGUAACCUUCUCCCAUAGCUGCUUCUAUCAGAGAUUUGAUCACGGUGAUAUAAAAGUAACUAAUACAGACAGCCAGGCUGGUUGGCAGCAAUGACAGAAAGGAAGGGGGUCAGAGAGCCAGGAGAAGCUGCACUGUGAUGCCUAACAGGGAGCAGACCCAAGGGUUGCAAAUGGUCAUAGAGCCCCAAACUGGCUGAGUUCGGGAGGCAUAGCCAAGUGCACCAGGAAGGGGGAGGAAGGGCUCAGGCUAGUGGGUGCACACCACAGAAAAACAGGAAGGACUCCAACUCACUCAGCCCACUGCUCCUUACAAUGAGUUUUCCAGUGGAAUAUAGCUGAAGCCACUUUUGGUAUGGGCUCCAGACUGGAGGUAGGAGUGGCUCCAGCCACUAGGUGCUACAGAGAGAGAGACAACAGGUAUACAUGCCACAGACAGCAUCCUGGGAAAUGUUAGCUUUAUACCCCACCCCAAGACAGAGGAGUAAGAGUAAUGUGGUUGCUCAGUAGCUGUGGUGGUUUGAAUAAGAAUGCCCCCCAUAGGCUCAUAGAUUUGAAUGCUUAGUCACCAGGAGUGGUACUAUUUGAAAGAAUUAAGAGGUUUGGCUUUGUUGGAGUAGGUGUGGCCUUGUUGGAGGAAGUGUGUCACUGUGGGUGGGCUUUGGGGUUUCAAAAGCCCAAGCCAGGCCUGGUGGUUCUCUCUGCCUCUUGCCUGUGGAUCCAGAUGCAGAACUCUCAGUUACCUCUCCAGCACCACGUCUGCCUGCACACUGUCAUGCUCCUUACCGUGAGGAUAGUGGACUAAACAUCUGAACUGGCCUUUCCAUGAACAUGAAAUCCACAGAUUCUGCUAACCUGACUUAAGGAUUCACCUCUCUCCACCUCCCCUAUGCUGGGAUCACAAGACAUAAGCCACUGCCCCCAGCUGUAAAAAAAUGGGUGCCGGGGAGCUGAACUCAGGACUUCGUGCUUGUGGGACAAGCAUUUACCCAGUCUCCAGCCUCAAGAGCUGGAAUUUCCACAUUACUUUCCUUGGCUGCAAUAACUUGCUGGCUGUGUGGCCUUGAGUUAAACACUCAUCCUCUCUGGGCCAUAGUGCCCUCCGAAAACAAGGGACUAAUAAGGGCUUCCUUGCUGUCAUCAGGACUUAACUGAGUAUGCCUGGGAAAGAGCUUUGUAAAUAGUGUCAUUGUCUCCUUCCCUCCAGAGCUCUCAGGGUAGAGCCUGCAGCCUCAGUUGGAACUCAGUCAGGAAUCAACCCCCGUUGAUGAGAAAAACACCACCAGAAGUCACAAAAAAACAAAACAGUUUUCUUGCCAGAAGACAGAAGGGGAGAACGGCUGUUCCGAUGGCCGUGAACCUUCACCAAGUUCAGGUUCAGAGUGAAGUCUACCCCAAUACUAUUUGUUCACACCAUUUAUUCUCAAAACUAUUAUUUGACAGCAGAAGUCAUUUCCUCCAGACACUAUCAAGAGGGCCCCUGGCUAUCAUCUGCAUUCCUUUAGUCAAGAUUUCUUCUUCUGGAGCAGACAAUUCUAGGCAAAGUUGAGCCGACCUGCUUCUAUGGAUAUGACACCUGAAAGGCCAAGGCCAGAGAAGGUUCACUGGAAGCCUGAAGAGGGAGGCAGCAGGCCAGUACUAAGAAAGCACAAAGGCCUGAAGACAGAGACAUUUAUUUCUGGCCCCAACUCAAAGCCAAGACCUUGGACGAGUCCUCUGUCCUCUAGGCAGAGGAGUGGCUUGUUUUCCCAUCUACAACACACAGGCUUCCUGGAUCCUCUCCCAAGGCCUUGCUAACUCUUCCUCAUGCUAUUCUGGGAGAGGUACAGCGUUGACAUGAUAGUUGUGAUUUAUCUGAGAGAGUUUUCAGAGAAAGGAAUCCAACAAGAACCUAGAGACUACAGACUAGGACAAAUGGGAAUAUUAGAAGCCCUGGCCAAAAGGGCAGAGAGACAGAGCUAGAGUGAUUGGUUUAUAGGGCAAAGUGAGGAAGAUGGGUCUGGGAUUCAGAUACAAGACACACCAAGAAGCGAAGGGAAGAGAAGUUGUCUGAACCCAGGCUCAGCAAGCCAGUGUCUCCCCUGAUGCAUACAAUCUAGGAGCAAAAUACAGAAGCCUGUUGUCUCCAAGCAAAGGGAAGGGAAUUAGUAAGGCUGUAACAGGGGCCAUUGUAUUGAUGGAUUGAUUGAUGGAUCAAUUGAUUGAUGAUUGAUUUGGGGGGGUGUGCAUGUUCACAUGUAUGCAAGUACCUGUGGAGGCUGGUGGGUGAUAUUGAGUUACCUUCCUCAGGCCCUCAAUUGCUUCCCAUCUUUUUUUGAGACAGACUGUAUUAUUUGCUUUUCUGGUGCUGUGAUAACCAAAAGCAACUAAGAGGAGGAAAGGGUCUAGUUUAGCUCCCAGUUACAGAGAGACAGAAUCUCAUAGCAGAAAAGGCAUGGCAAAUGUAUCAGGAAGCCGGCUGAUCACAUUUUCAUCUACACAAAAGGAAGUGGGGUAAGACAAUAAAUUUAUCAAGCCCUGCCCCCCAGGGACAUACUUCCUCCAACAAGGUACCACCUCAAAAAGAUUCCAUAAUCUCCCCAAACAGCACCACCAACUGGGGACCAAGUUUUCAAAUAAAUGAGACUAUAUGGGACAUUUCUCCUUUAAACCAUCACAUAGGCUGUCUCACUGAACCUAGAGCUCACUGAUCCAGCUAGUCUGGCUAGUUAGCAAGUCUCAGUACUGGCAUUACAGAUGAACACCACUAUGCUGGGCUUUUUCCAUGGAUGCCAGGGAUUCAAGCCCAGGUCCUCAUGUUUGUACACCAAGCACUUUACUGAGUGAAGCAUCUUCCCAGCCCAAAGGGCCAUUUUUGAUUCUUGGCUGGGAUGGUAUGGCAAAAGGUGUGUAAGGGGUAUGUUUCAUCCUGAGUCUAGAGGUUUGAAAAAGUAGACUAGACAGAAGAGGGACCAUUAAAUACAUUUCAGAGGUUUGGAAAGGAUUAAGAGCGCCCAAAGUUCUGAAAAUCAUGUUUCUCACGUUUCCACAUCUCUAAGAUGAAGCCUGGGCCUCUAAAGAUCUUUCUCUCGCCCAUGAGCAAAACCAAGGAUCAUUUCACCCUCCCAGCACCCAAGUCCUCCCACCUUUCAGGAGUAGUCAAGACUCCCAGCUUGGUUCCAUACUCAAGCCUCAGGGAGGAGCUGUCUCUGAGAGCCUGGGAGCCCACAGGUGAGGCCCAGCAGGAGGAGAAAAGAGACCUCCUGCUGUUAGCUCUCAGAGUCUUGGGCUGACUUCCCAAGCUGGCUUCCUGUACUUUGCUGCAGUUCUAACAUGUAGCCCCAAAAGACAGACAGAAGAAAGCUCAUUUUGGGGUUUCUCCUUAAUCCAGGAAUGAUGCCCACCAUGUCAUUGGGUCCAUUUGUUACCAGAAUUGUUGGGGUCGAGCCUGGACUGGCUACCCUAACAAGCUAGGAUCAACUAUCUGUCCUCAACAGGCCAAUUGUACAGACAAAUAGCAUUGAAAAGCAGAGGAGGGAAACACAUUUGACAAAACUGCAAUUGGGAAGAUAGGUGAUAAGGCGGCUCAGUGACCAACCUUGUCCAUCAUCAGAGUUUUAAUAAAUGGCUAUGGAUAUUGUAACUAAGGAAUCCAGGCUAUCCUGCUGACAAGAAGUCACCCUCUGGUGACAUCUUUUCCUGGCUGGCACCAGAAGUCAGCCUUUCCUUUCUCCAGCAUGAGAUUCCUGGGGAAAUUCCAAUUCCUGAAGUCCAUUGUUAAAGUAGUAUGAUAGCCAAAGCAAGAGGCACACACCUGUAAUCUCAGUACUUAGCAGAUAGAGAAAGGGAACUCCAAAGUUCAAGGUUAUCCUCAGCUACAGAGCAAGUUUGAGGCCAGCCUGGGCCACUUAAGACAACAUAACAAAGUAAAUAUGAGCUGGCUUACCUCAUUUUGAUCUUAAAGAAUUACCUUCUGUGAAUGACACUGGCAGGCAGUUUUAUCAAGAGCCAUGUUUAGACUUAGGGAUGAGCAAGCAAAGCUAGUACUGUAAAACUCACCCUGGCCCUCAGUCAGCACAGCUCGUUUGUUAUCUGUAACAUCCUUGUUUGACAGCCCUCUAGGAAAACAUGAAUCUUGCAGGGACUCUUGGCUGCAUUAUUUGUGUUGAAGUUUCUCAACCCUCUGGCACCACAGGAAAGGCAAAUCAGAAGUCCCAGUGAAGACUCUCAUGCCCCCUUAGUUUCUUGCCUUCCUAUCCUGCCACCAUUGAACAGGAACUUCCUUCCACAAUCCCAUCUCCUAGAUGGCGGCUAUUCUCCAGGUCCCCUCUUUUUAUUCUUUACGUCUGCUUGUGGUAAAAUGCAUACAUACAGCAUGGCAUUUAUCAUUGUAGAGCUGGUGAGAUGGUUCCUCAAGUAAAGACUCCAGCCGCCAAGCCUGAUGGCUGAGUUCAAUCCCAGGGCCCAUAUGAUGGAAGGAGACUAUCGCCUCCAUAAAGUGGUCCCCUGAAGGACACCACAACUGCAUAAGCAUAUCCCAACACACAGGCAAACAAUAAAUAAUAAACAAUGGAGGUUUGUUGGUUUUGUUUUUUAAGGCACAUCCUAGGAUAGUUAAGGGUACAACAGAGAAACCCUGUCUCAAAAAGAAGUAAAACAACAACAACAAAACUACUGUAGCCAUUUUUUUAAUUUUUAUUGAUUUUUUUGUGAAUUUCACAUAAUACACCCCAAUCCCAUUCAUCUCCAUAUCCCCCCUCCAUCCUUGCUAUCUGCCCCCAAAAGAAAUAAAAAAUAAAUAAAAAUAAAAACAAAUCAAAAACUAAAAAAGAAAAACAAGCAAGCAAACAAAAACCUCAUUUCACUGUGGAGGAGUAGCCAUUUUUAAAAAGCACAAUCUAAUGGAAUUAAGUAUACUCAUCUUUUCAUUCAUCAUCUCUCCUUUCUGAAAUUGCCUACAAGUCUAAAAGUGACAGGAUCACCUUUUUUAUUAGACAGAUUCCAGGAAUUUGACUCCUCUUUGCUCCUGCACAGAGCUGUGUGGAGCUGAAGAGCAGGAGGUUCAUGCUUGGCCUCAAAUGCACCCCACUAAUGGCCAUUAUAAAUCACCCACACAUUUGCUGACUCAGCUAAAAGCCUUGGGCCCAGCAGUGGCAAGGGCUUUCUUCCUGGGGACCUGCCCAGCUAAGGGCCAGAGCUUCAGGGGAGUACAACAUAACACAUGUUAGACGCUCCAAGUCAGAUGGGGGCGCUAGAGGACUGUGACUUCCCUGGUGGUUGUCAUCUACCUGUGUGGCCCCUGCUUCCACCUCAGAAGAAGCAAGUUAUGUAAUGCCUGGCUCCUCACCUGUGAAAUUCAAAU